UAUCCGUAGGUGAACCUGCGGAAGGAUCAUUACUGAGUGAGGGCCCCUCGGGGUCCAACCUCCCACCCGUGUUUAACGAACCUUGUUGCUUCGGCGGGCCCGCCUCACGGCCGCCGGGGGGCAUUUGCCCCCGGGCCCGCGCCCGCCGAAGCCACCUGUGAACGCUGUCUGAAGUAUGCAGUCUGAGACAAUUAUUAAAUUAAUUAAAACUUUCAACAACGGAUCUCUUGGUUCCG
rnacentral:misc_RNA from 1 species